rnacentral:lncRNA from 1 species
UAAUCACUUGUCAAAACAUUAGCGCUAAUCAUUAAUCUCAAAAAUUCGAACUAUUAAAAAUAAUUAAUUAAUUUACUGAAAGCAUACAGAUACAUAUUUCACAGAUCUCGAUUGUGAUUUGAUCCAACCAGUCUCACGCCAUUUCGAAUAUGACUCGACUCACUCAGUCUCAUACUAUUUCGGACAUGACUCGACCCAACAUCACCUCCCGCAAUAAGACAGAAUGCUGGCUCAUUUAAACCCACAAUAGGGCUCGGCGCAUCCGAGAGCCCACAACCCGAUAUAGUUUACGCAUUUCGAAGCGUCUGAAAAUGACACGAAUGACGAAUAGAACAGCGUCACAUUAUAAUCGUACUCGCCAACUUCUGUAUUCUGACAAUUUGUUAAAUUGUAGCUAGAUUAGGAUGGGUAUUUAAAUCUGUAUGAAAUAAAUUGAAUAGAUAUUAAUUUAAGGUGUGACCGUACGUACAAUGAUUGCAUGCACGUAGUAAUUAAUACGGGUGCAUCGUAAGAGAGUUCUCAUUUGAAUUUGGAAAAAACUUCAAAUACCACAUUUUAGUUUCACAGUUUUUUACUUUAAUACUCUAUGGUUUAAAGUUUUUAACUUUAAUACUCUAUGGUUUAAAGUGUAUAAAUUUAGUAUCCUAUGAUUUUAUUUUUAUCUCUUUAUCAUUGAUUUCAUAAAUUUUUUUCGUUAAAUCAGUAACAAAGUUAAAACUAAAGAGUACUAAAAUAAAUAUUUGAUAAACCGAGUUGAGAUAUCUAAUUAAAAUUUUUUGUAUAUAAUUUAACGAAAUAUUAACGAAAAAACUGACGAAAAGAUAAAAAUAAAAUCAUAGGACACUAACUUGAUAUACUUUAAACCAUAGGGUACUAAAGUGAGAAAGUGCAAAACUAUAUGGAUGGUAUUUGAAGUUUAUCCUUAAAUUUAUAGAAAAUGAGAAAGGAAUGGUAGAGAUUUAGUAAGAGAGGUUGUGUUGAAGUUUUUUCAUAUAGAAAAGUAGUCGAGUGUAAUUUUUUUCUUGGUUCGUGAAUUAUUUAUAUUUUUUAUUUGGUUUUUUUUUUCUUAUUUUUUUUUGUAAUCGUAUCAGGUUUUGCUAAGUAGACGGCGGGUUUAUAGUAAAAAUUCAAUUUGACGCUUCCGUUGCGGAAUUCCAACGACUGGUAAUAGAGCAAAUACUGAAUUUACAGUAAUAAAUAUCAGAGCGGAUUGGAGAUUCGUAAUAUCAAAUUCCCAACAGCAUGAACCCAAAAUUAUAACAAUUUGUCUUAAAAAACUUAAGCAAGUAUAUCUGAACUCCCUGUUUUUUUUUAAUAAAAUAUCUAAUGGAGUUUGAACAUAGAAUCUUUUGCUAUAACAUUAUGUAAAAUAAUAAUAUAGGUAAACAUGUAUAGAACUUGCUCAAACUAUGAGUCAUUCGAGCCAACUAUCAGAUUUUUUUAAAUUUUGAUUUUGCUACCGAAUCUUUCAAUUUUUUUGAUUUGAGCCCCUCAACGACAUUUGAACUUUCAAAAUUUAAAAUUCAUCAUCUAUCUUUACAUAUUUAACCCAAAUACUUCAUCCAAUUCUCGCAACUAUACGUUCAUUAAAUUAAACAAUUAGCUUAAAUUUUGAAGUAGAAGAGUCGUUGACUAACUCAAAUCAAAUAAAUUUGAAAUUGGAUAGUAAAAUCAAAAUUUUGAAUGAUAGUGUAGUCGAUUCAAAAUAAUUUAAAGUUCAAAUAAAUUUUAUACAUUUUU